UCUGGUCUAUUAUUUUUUAAAUUCUUGUCCAUUUGAAUAGGAAAGUCCCACAAAAUCUUACAUACCACCAACUCCAGUACUCUUUCGACUCAAUGAUUGUACCAUGUGUUUCCAGCUUCAAAUCCCCAUUUCUGGCACAGUUUCUUGUGUACAACUUUUACAACCUGGUCAUGCCUCCAGUUCUUAUAUUCUUCCUGUGCCACCAUUUUAUUAUCAUUCUCAUUAUUUUUAAAG